UACGUAGGGUGCGAGCGUUGUCCGGAAUUAUUGGGCGUAAAGAGCUCGUAGGCGGUUUGUCGCGUCUGCUGUGAAAACUGGAGGCUCAACCUCCAGCCUGCAGUGGGUACGGGCAGACUAGAGUGCGGUAGGGGAGAUUGGAAUUCCUGGUGUAGCGGUGGAAUGCGCAGAUAUCAGGAGGAACACCGAUGGCGAAGGCAGAUCUCUGGGCCGUAACUGACGCUGAGGAGCGAAAAGCAUGGGGAGCGAACAGG
rnacentral:rRNA from 1 species